GCCCGCUCAGAAACUUAAAGGCAUUGACGGGGCCCGCACAAGCGGUGGAGCAUGUGGUUUAAUUCGAUGAUACGCGAGGAACCUUACCUGGGCUCAAAUGUAUGUUGACGUAUUCUGAAAGGGAUACUUCUUCGGACAAUAUACAAGGUGCUGCAUGGUUGUCGUCAGCUCGUGCCGUGAGGUGUCGGGGUUAAGUCCCAUAACGAGCGCAACCCCUAUCAUUAGUUGCCAUCAGGUCAAGCUGGGGACUCUAAUGAAACUGCCUACGCAAGUAGUGAGGAAGGUGGGGAUGACGUCAAAUCAGCACGGCCCUUACGUCCAGGGCUACACACGUGCUACAAUGGCCGGUACAAAGGGCAGCUACCUGGUGACAGGAUGCUAAUCUCAAAAGCCGGUCUCAGUUCGGAUCGGAGUCUGCAACUCGACUUCAUGAAGCUGGAAUCGCUAGUAAUCGUGGAUCAGCCAAGCCGCGGUGAAUACGUUCCCGGGCCUU
rnacentral:rRNA from 1 species